rnacentral:lncRNA from 1 species
UAGAUAAUAUUACACAGGAUUAUAGAUCGAUAGUCAUCGGCAUACUCCAAAUUUCUAGUUUUAAGGAUCAAAGUGAUGUAAGUUUGCUUAACCUUUGAAGGUAAAGUGGCUGUAUCAAAAAAGUAACAUAUAAUUUGGAGGACAUUCUUUUUAAUUAUAUGUCAAUAGUGUUUAAAAAAGAAAACCUAAAAUCCAUCAAGCCCAGGAGUCUUAUCAGAGUCCAUAUUGUGAAGAGCAUAAUAGACAUCUUCCUCCGUCACCUAUUUAGUAAGAUUUUGAUUUUGAGUAUCUAUCACAGCAAGCUGAACCACCAACGAGGUCAUUUGCUGGUCAAACAAUUGAGCUAACCAGCGUAGCUAAAAAGAGUCAAAUAACAUUUGGCGAACUAUGUCAUAACCAUCAAUUAUCUCCCUCCGAGAUGAAAGAAGAUGUAAGAUUUUAUUUUGCCUUCUUCUAAAAAUUAUGGAUUGGCAGAAGAAUCCAAUGUUAGAACCCCCCUUUUGAA